AAAAAAGGCCACAUUUCAGGUGUGAAGCAGAAUGUGUGCUCCUGGAAAGUGCAUCCAAGCAUAGUGAAAGCCCUGCAGAUAAGACUCCAGUUGAAGACACAGAAACUGAACAGGAAAGGAUUUUACUACGUGACAUCAUGGCUGCAGCUGAUCGGUGCCGAACUUUAAGCUUCAGUGGAAGUUGUGUUUCCACUUGUCUUAAUGAGCAAAGAUGAACAAAAUGAGACACGAAGGCUUUGCAAAGUUGGGAUGAGGAACUUGAUGAGAGUUCUCCAGCAGAUCUCUGAACUUUUAUUUUUGAAAGAAAGCAGGACUAUGAGAUGUUCUGCGUUGAAAUCAUUGCUAAAAAAACUACAAAGUUUUUGCCAGAUGUGAAGAUGAUUAAGAUUGUUCAAUGAUCAUAAUAAAACACAGCAUCUGGCAAACUGGCCAACUCCAGUGGAGAUUAUCUACAGACUCUGUCCUUUUUCUUUCUAAAAAUGUUAUUAAAGACAGCACUCUUUCUA